UAGAAUCUAUGAUAAGUUUGAAACUCUCGAAUUAGUGGAUUAAUAAAUUUUUUAAUCUAUUCGAACAAAAAAUCUAAAAACCCCUUUUUUAAUUAUGACUUUCAAUUUGGCUAAUAUUAUCAUAUCAUUAGUCCAUACAAACAACUUGAAUUAUUACAUUUAUCUACAUUUUAUCACUUGUAUUUGACCCGUGUGCGACUCCAGAUUAUCCUCUUCAUGCAUUGAUGUGUUGACCAUUAUCAUAAAUACAAAGUAUAUAUAUUACUUGAGUGUGGGGCACAUACUAUUAAUAAGAGUAUGAUUCGGACUACAGUCAUUAAUAUCAUAUUUAAAAUUUAAAGUGAUAUUUAUUUUCAAUUAAUUUUCUUUUGCAAAAGUGAUGCUUAUAGUGGAACAAAGGAUAAUAUUAAAAUUUUGGCUACCUUGGAUUUCAAAAAUCUGCUUCUAUUUUCCAAGCGAUGCUGAUAUGCUUUAUUACCAUAUCAAUAUUACAAAAUCUACAUGUUUAAACAUAGAACAAGAAAAUACAGAAGUUAAAAUAUGAGUUACUAAUCAUUAGGGGUAGGAAUAGGUCAGGUCAAGUCAGACUUUGAAAUGUCUGAGUUUGGCCUACAAUUAAUUCUUUAGGCCUAAGUCUAACCUAUGACCUAUCAUAGACUUUUUUUUUUUUCGGUCUGCUCUACCCUUUUUAAAAGUCUGACCUGACAAAAAAGCCAAUUUAAAAGUCUUAUUCACAUUAAAACAUUUAAAUAUUAUAUUUUACGUUUUUUUAAAUAUGCUAAACUAAGACUUUAUAUACAAAAAAAACUAAUCAAAUCUAAUAAAAUAAUACCUAAUCAAUACAACAACUUUUCAAGAAAAAAAAAUGAUUCUAUAAUUAGUCCAUAUACACAUAUCAAGCAACAUGAGGCUCUAUCCAUACCAAUUUACAUGAUGCUCUACCCAUACCAAUUUACAUGAUGCUCUCCACAUAUCAAUACUAAUGUACAUAUAUAUAUAUAUAUAUAUAUAUUAAACAAAAAAUUAUAUUAAACAAAAAAUGAUUUUUGUAACAAAGUGAUUUUAAAAUAUUCUAAAACAAACACCAUUUAAACCCUAAAAUAUGAUUUUUGAUUUCAAAGAAUAUAUUUUUUUUUUCGUGAAACCAACGCACCCAUUAUUACCUCUCAAACAAAUUCUCUCAAAAAAACUCGGACAUAUUCAGUAAUAAUAUAAUUAAUAUUAUUAUCAACUCUAAAACACUUCUAAAGGGACUGCACCUAUUUUAUGCAUUUUUUUUACUAUUUUUUACAAACUCACAUAUACUGGUUUGAUUUAUGAUUUAUUUUUAUUUAUAAAACCUAAAACUAGAACAACUUCAAUGGAGUUUCUAGAAAAGUUUUAAGAGAUUUUACAAAGGCUAACUUUAUUUAAGGAAUACAAAGAUAAAAUUAAAAAAAAAAAUUAAGAUUUUGAAGUAUUAAAUAUUGAAAUCUUUCAUAGUAUAAUAAUUAAAUAAUAAUAUGAAGAAUUGAACUUGAAAAGAACGGGAGAAGAAAAGGACAGGGAGAAUAAUGAAUUGUUACUGGAUAUGGAAUGACCAUUGAGUGAUAGCCUAAUUGAUAUAUUGAUAUAGGCUUCAAAAUAGGAAUAAUAUUAUUAAUACACAAUAAUAAAAAAAAAAUAUAGGAAUAAUAUAUAUAGGUCGGCCUGUCAGGUAUAAAAAACUUUUUUAUACGUUUGAAUUUGCCCUAUUUAAACAAAUAGGCUUUAAAAAUAGUUUGAACCUAACAUUUUUGUUAAACAGGCCAGACCAGACCAUAAGUAGGCUGACCGCAGACCUCUAACUGACGGUCUAACCUAUUUCCACCCCCUACUGACCAUUAAUAAUGUUUAUUUUUUCCUUUGCAAAAAUGCAAUAGACAGGCCAAAGAUUUAGUUUUAAGAAAAAAAACAUUAAUUAUUUUUUGAGAAUAUAAUAAAAAUUAUAGGUUUGAUCAUCACAUAUUACAACAUUACAAAAUGCAUUUGCAUAGCUUUUGAAACUAUAGUUCUGCAUGUUUAUAAAUAAUUUGAUUGAAACAUUGCUCCUAAAUUAGCUCUUCAAUGUAUAAAAAGACAAAUGAAGUGACUUCUUUGUAGACAAUCAUAUGAAAAGAAAAAGAAAAAGAAAAAGAAAUAUUAAGUAACUAGUGUGUUAUUAGUUCCCCGAUAUUUUUUUUAUUAUCUUUAAUUGUAAUAUAUAUUUUAACUUAUCUAAAUAAAUAAUAAAAAAAUCUAAAAAGAGUAUAUAAUAGUUAUAAGGCCGUAAAUUUUUAUAUAAGUCAAACCGCUUUAUACAAAGCCUAUUUAAUUUAUUAUAGACACAUGGUGUAGCAAAAUAGAACAUAAAUUUAUACUUAAAUAUGAUUUAUUGAAGUAUUUGUGAUUACAAAUGACCUAAAAGAUCAAUAAGUAGCAACACAAUUUUAUUUAUUUGUAAAUUUGGAGUAAAAGAGCAUAAUUUUUUAAUCAUGAUUUCAUUCAUGACACAUUGGUAACUUGUUCCUCUUAUUAAAUAGAUAUUAAUAUGUUUUGUUGCAUGGAUAAUUUAGAAAUGGAUUUGACAUUUGGGUGAUUUUAAUGUCUCUUAAAAAAAAAAAAACGUCUUUUACGUACUGGUGGAGGAGGAUGCCAUGGAAUAUGGGGAGGAUGAAUCUUUACAGGAGGGGGAGAGCGCCUGCGAAAGCGGUCGCGUAAAACUUGCCACAUCAUGUCGAGUUCUCCUUCUUUAUCGUAAUUAGGUGGUUCAGGAAUUGGUGUCUUGGAGAUUUGUGGGCUUACAUCAGCAAGUCCUUGUGAAACAAGGAUAAGAGCAGCAAGGAACAACAUUAGUAAGGUUAAGAAAUUCGAAACCAUUUUCAUAAGUUGUUUUAAUGUUUCUACAUUACAUAUAAAGAAUAAUCAUAUUUUAUACUAGUU
rnacentral:lncRNA from 1 species